AAAAUUUUAAGUUAAUAAAACUUUAAACCUUCAAAGUUUAAUAUAUAUAUUA
rnacentral:tRNA from 1 species